ACCGUGCUGGGUCUUUCCCCCAGCCACUUGAAGGUCGGAGGUACGAGGCCGGCCUCGGGGACCAGAAGCUUCCAGGCCCUCAGUCUCCUCAUCUGUGACAUGAGACCAGUACCACCUGCCCUAGUUCGAGCACAGGGCCGUCAGGAAGAUCACACGAGAUUCGUGAAGGAGAUGCUCCUUUUGGCAAGGUUGGGGCCAAGGUGAAGAACAGGUGACCGGAAGAGGGACAGCAUCCCAGGGGCUGGUGUCUGGCCACGUACAGCGUCGCUGGAGCUGAAAAGCAUGGUUCUGCAUUGGCUCCGUGACAUAUCCUGACACGUUGGACCAAAGAAAACACAAAAUGAAAACGAAACAACGUUCCACC